GACGAACGCUGGCGGCGUGCCUAACACAUGCAAGUCGAACGGAGAUAUGAUUUCGGUUGUAUCUUAGUGGCGAACGGGUGAGUAACGCGUGAGCAACCUGACUCUUAGAGGGGGAUAACACCCGGAAACGAGUGCUAAUACCGCAUAAGACCACGACAUGGCAUCAUGACGAGGUCAAAGGAGCAAUCCGCUGAGAGAGGGGCUCGCGUCCCAUUAGAUAGAUGGCGGGGUAAUGGCCCACCAUGUCAGCGAUGGGUAGCCGAGCUGAGAGGCUGAUCGGCCACACUGGAACUGAGACACGGUCCAGACUCCUACGGGAGGCAGCAGUGGGGAAUAUUGGGCAAUGGGCGCAAGCCUGACCCAGCAACGCCGCGUGAGGGAUGAAGGCCUCGGUUGUAACUACUUCUAGCAGGAAGAAGCGAAAGUGACGGUACCUGCAGAAGAAGCACCGGCUAACUACGUGCCAGCAGCCGAC
rnacentral:rRNA from 1 species